rnacentral:lncRNA from 1 species
CCCAAGCCAUAUAAGGAGACCAAGGACCUCAAAUCCCUCCGACGUGGGACAACUCAACAAUUGAUGAUGCAAAAAAUCUUUACACUAUGAGUAUAUAUAAUUUAAAUCGUCACUAAUAGCUUUAAUAAUACAAUAGCUUUGAAGCUAGGGGAUAAUAUUGUUUGUGUGUACAUACUAUUGGAAUAAGAUGAGUUUAGUUAAUUAGUGUAACAUUGUUAAUGACGAUUUAUAUAACCAACAUCAAAUUAUUUUUGACCGAAAAACAAUUAUUGUUGUUAUCAAAAACUAUAAAAAAAAAGAAAGAAUAGAGAGCAAACCUUGGCAAAUUAAUGAUAGAGAGGCAUCAUCAAGUGUUUCCACUUGGUUUUCUUUUGCCAUUGGAAAUUUCAAGACUUCUAUUCCAUCAUUCACUUCGAAUACCAGAUCUCGUGCCGUAAGAGAUUGCAAAAC